rnacentral:rRNA from 1 species
UUUCGCAAUGCCCGAAAGGGUGACGAAGCGACGCCGCGUGAGUGAGGAAGGCCUUCGGGUUGUAAAGCUCUGUCAGGAGUUAAGAAAUAUAAGUGUGCUAAUACCACAUUUAUUUGACGAAGGCUCCAAAGGAAGCCACGGCUAACUCUGUGCCAGCAGCCGCGGUAAUACAGAGGUGGCAAGCGUUGUUCGGAAUUAUUGGGCGUAAAGAGCACGUAGGUGGGUUUGUAAGUCAGAUGUGAAAGCCUUCUGUUCAACGGAAGAAUUGCAUCUGAAACUGCGAGUCUUGAGUGUAGGAGGGGAGAAUGGAACUUCUGGUGGAGCGGUGAAAUGCGUAGAUAUCAGAAGGAACGCCGGCGGCGAAAGCGAUGCUCUGGCCUAUUACUGACACUCAGUGUGCGAAAGCUAGGGGAGCAAACGGGAUUAGAUACCCCGGUAGUCCUAGCCGUAAACGAUGGGCACUAAGUAGAGGGGUUUUA